rnacentral:tRNA from 1 species
GGGGAAUUAGCUCAGCUGGGAGAGCGCUGCGUUCGCAAUGCAGAGGUCAGGAGUUCGAUCCUCCUAUUCUCCACCA